AUUAGGGUUUGAUCAUGGCUCAGGACGAACGCUGGCGGCGUGCUUAACACAUGCAAGUCGAGCGAGGUCCAACCACCCGCAAGGGUGGGGAAGACCUAGCGGCGAACGGGUGAGUAACACGUGAGGAACCUGCCCCGAAGACUGGGAUAACACCGGGAAACCGGUGCUAAUACCGGAUGCCCUCUCUGGAUCGCAUGGUCCGGCGAGGAAAUGGAUUCCGCUUCGGGAGGGCCUCGCGGCCUAUCAGCUUGUUGGUGAGGUAACGGCUCACCAAGGCAGCGACGGGUAGCUGGUCUGAGAGGACGAUCAGCCACACUGGGACUGAGACACGGCCCAGACUCCUACGGGAGGCAGCAGUGGGGAAUCUUGCGCAAUGGGCGAAAGCCUGACGCAGCAACGCCGCGUGGGGGAUGAAGGCUUUCGGGUCGUAAACCCCUUUCAGCAGGGACGAAAUUGACGGUACCUGCAGAAGAAGCCCCGGCCAACUACGUGCCAGCAGCCGCGGUAACACGUAGGGGGCAAGCGUUGUCCGGAUUUAUUGGGCGUAAAGGGCUCGUAGGCGGCUUGGCAAGUCGGAUGUGAAAACUCGAGGCUCAACCUCGAGACGCCAUUCGAUACUGCUAUGGCUUGAGUCUGGUAGGGGAGCACGGAAUUCCUGGUGUAGCGGUGAAAUGCGCAGAUAUCAGGAGGAACACCGGUGGCGAAGGCGGUGCUCUGGGCCAGAACUGACGCUGANGAGCGAAAGCGU
rnacentral:rRNA from 1 species